rnacentral:rRNA from 1 species
GACGAACGCUGGCGGCGUGCUUAACACAUGCAAGUCGAACGGAAAGGCCCUGCUUUUGUGGGGUGCUCGAGUGGCGAACGGGUGAGUAACACGUGAGUAACCUGCCCUUGACUUUGGGAUAACUUCAGGAAACUGGGGCUAAUACCGGAUAGGAGCUCCUGCUGCAUGGUGGGGGUUGGAAAGUUUCGGCGGUUGGGGAUGGACUCGCGGCUUAUCAGCUUGUUGGUGGGGUAGUGGCUUACCAAGGCUUUGACGGGUAGCCGGCCUGAGAGGGUGACCGGCCACAUGGGGACUGAGAUACGGCGCAGAAGCGUACGGGAGGCAGCAGGGGGGAAUAUUGCAGAAUGGGCGGAAGCCUGAUGCAGCAACGCCGGGUGCGGGAUGACGGCCUUCGGGUUGUAAACCGAUUUCGCCUGUGACGAAGCGUGAGUGACGGUAAUGGGUAAAGAAGCACCGGCUAACUACGUG